UACGUAGGAGGCAAGCGUUGUCCGGAAUCACUGGGCGUAAAGCGCGUGUAGGCGGAUCGCUAAGUCUGUGGUGAAAGCGCCUGGCUUAACCGGGCGAGGUCCAUGGAAACUAGUGGUCUGGAGGCCGGUAGAGGGGGGGUGGAAUUCCGGGUGUAGUGGUGAAAUGCGUAGAGAUCCGGAGGAACACCAGUGGCGAAGGCGG
rnacentral:rRNA from 1 species